UACGUAGGGGGUAAGCGUUGUCCGGAAUUAUUGGGCGUAAAGCGCGCGCAGGCGGCUAUUUAAGUCUGGUGUUUAACCUUGGGGCUCAACCCCGAGUCGCACUGGAAACUGGGUAGCUUGAGUGCAGAAGAGGAGAGUGGAAUUCCACGUGUAGCGGUGAAAUGCGUAGAGAUGUGGAGGAACACCAGUGGCGAAGGCGACUCUCUGGGACGGUACUGACGCUGAGACGCGAAAGCGUGGGGAGCGAACAGG
rnacentral:rRNA from 1 species